UUGAACGCUGGCGGCAUGCCUUACACAUGCAAGUCGAACGGUAGAGGAGCAAUCCUCGAGAGUGGCGAACGGGUGAGUAAUGUAUCGGAACGUGCCCAGUAGUGGGGGAUAGCCCGGCGAAAGCCGGAUUAAUACCGCAUGAUACCUGAGGGUGAAAGCAGGGGACCGCAAGGCCUUGCGCGGACGGAGCGGCCGAUGGCAGAUUAGGUAGUUGGUGGGAUAAAAGCUUACCAAGCCGACGAUCUGUAGCUGGUCUGAGAGGACGACCAGCCACACUGGGACUGAGACACGGCCCAGACUCCUACGGGAGGCAGCAGUGGGGAAUUUUGGACAAUGGGCGAAAGCCUGAUCCAGCCAUGCCGCGUGCAGGAUGAAGGCCUUCGGGUUGUAAACUGCUUUUGUACGGAACGAAAAGACUCCUUCUAAUAAAGGGGGUCCAUGACGGUACCGUAAGAAUAAGCACCGGCUAACUACGU
rnacentral:rRNA from 1 species